ACCGGGCGCGGUGGCACAUGCCUGUAGUCCGAGCUACUCAGGAGGCUGAGGCUGAAGGACCGCUUGAGUCUAGGAGUUCUGGGCUGUAAUGCACUAUGCCGAUAUGGUGUCCGCACUAAGUUUGGCAUUGAUAUAGUGACCUCCUGGGAGCAGGAGACCACCAAGUUGCCUAAAGAAGGGUGAACCGGCACAGAUUGGAAACAGAGCAGGUCAAAACUCCUGUACUGAUCAGUAGUGGGAUCGUGCCUGUGAAUAGCCACUGUACUCCAGCCUGGGCAACAUAGCAAGAUCCCAUCUCUU
ensembl:misc_RNA Metazoa_SRP Metazoan signal recognition particle RNA